rnacentral:lncRNA from 1 species
CUUCACACUUGAUUGUCAUUUGGCCAGAACACAGACCCCACCUCUUGAUGGAGGAGUGUCAGCGGCAUUGUCAGACGAGCACUGGGAGAGGGAUGUAUACUGAUUGAUGUGUUUAGAGAUCAGUGAAUAAGUGCCAGAGCUGUUUAGAGCUCAAGGAUGUGGAGCCAGAACCAGUAGAAGACAAAAUGAAAGACAGACCACCCGAAUACGGUAUUAUUGUGAAUGGGAAAGUGUGGUUUGAGAAUUAGUUAGAAAAGAUAUAAGGGAUCUUACAUAUAAGGGAAAAUAUAAGAUAGCUGAACGUGUGGAGAGGAAGAGAAGAUUUCUUGGAAAAAAAGCUGUGAGGCGUCCAUCCCUCCCUCCUCCUCUCUCUCCCCACAGCACACAAAUAGUGAGGGGCUUGCUUGGUGUUCUCCUGGGGUCCUGGCGCUGGUGCCUGGCCUGGGCUAGAGAGCUGAAGAGGCCCGGGGCAGCCAGAGGGAGGCUAUGCCUGUGCAGUGCCUCAGAAGUGAUACCCUCCCCUCAGCAGGGAAUCCCGGAUGCCAAAUGUGGAACCUGGGUAAGGGAACGGCGUGAGGUCAUUUAGAAGAAAUCUUGUUCAAGAAAGUGGCCUGCCAGGGUAAGGACGGCUCAGCGUAAGAGUUGUGGGAGAUCCUGAGGGCUGAAGUUGAGAAGGGGAGUCGGGAGUGGCUGGAUGAAGGGGAGGCACCCUGAAGUGGGGGACGGCUCAGGAGGAGAGACUGAAGAACCCACAGAAGUUUCCAUGAAGGAAAGAAUCCCCUAGAAGCAUCUGCCAAGCCCUGAGAGCUUGCCUACCUUCAUGUCACAAGAGGCUGCUGCAUGCUGUAGAAGAAAGAAGCCUGAAGACAGAGGAGAUGCCUGUGCUCCCAGAUAGAGGAAAAAAGAGCCGAAUGAUUAGGAAACAACACUUCUGGCCUCAGAUGACUUUGUACAAAUGCAUAGAGUAUAAAAGGAAAUAAAAUCUUGUAGGUUUGGG